rnacentral:lncRNA from 1 species
GACCGCCUUAGCUGAGGAGCAGGCCAGACAGCGGACGGCAGGCAGCGUCCCUGGGCGACCACGGACCGACCGGCUCGUUAGCUAGCUCUGCUGUCGCUUCACGAGUUCUGAGCUCUCACCGCUAGCCUAUGGAAGCUGCAGCCCCUCGGAGGACAGAAGUGUUGUGCGCCCAACAGAACCCUCUGAGACGCAAGCUGCUCCCUUGGCUAGCUCAUAUGUGGAAAUAGCCCUGUAAUUCGAGGUAACUCCUUUUGCUCGUGUCCGCAUCCCUCCUCUUGUCGAGAGCUCAUUUGAGAGUAAAGUUCUGUACCUGGGGAAUGUUCCUUUGGCUGUUUAUCCUUUUCCAUUUUUUUUACUUUUUUUUUUUUUUUUUUUUAAUUUUAAUUUUUUUAAUCGAGCUCGAACCAGAGUCAGAUCUGGGCCGUUAGCCCUUCCCCGCCUGCAGCCCGGCGAGCGGCCUGGGCGGUCACACCACAGGAGUAGGUUUGAUCCGUAAGCAGGAUUGGAGACCACCGAACGCCCUGCCUUUUGGGAUUUUUGUUCAUCAAUUGACAGUCUUUUCCAGACCUCCGUCCCUCAGGCUCCCAACUAGCUUUCUCUGAUGUCUGUUGCUGCCAUGAGUUUUUCCCAGAGCCCACACGGUCCUCUAAGCUCCAUCCCAAUUGGGCAGUUGGCUCUGCUCAAGGGUGGGACGUGGCCUGGCCCAUCCGGAAGGCGCAGGCCCACCCUGGGCACGCCAGCCUGUGACGGGGCCUCUGCCGGGACGGCCCGAUGACUAGUUUGAGACCCUCCUAGGAGCUGUGGAUGGUUUCAGGGGAGGUGGGGAGGGGCAGAUGUGACCUGUGGCCAGGACACUGCGCGUAACGCUUCUUUGCUUUGGCAGGUUGAAGGGAAGCCAGUGUGACUCGGAGGUGUGGCCAGACAGCAGCGAUGACCGGGACUCACUGUCCCAGAAGGGACUUUAUCGGGAAGCGAGAGCCAGAGGCACAGCCACCGGUCUUCGUACCGUGUCCCCUGUAAGUGGUUCUUGGGGUGGGUGAUGUGAGGCUCUCUGGCCCUGCCGCUUGACCCCGCUGGUGGGUUCUCCUUCCCUGGUCUGCCCUCCUGUAACCCCAGUGGGGGCCGGGGGUGGGCAGCAUUCUGCAGGGCUCUCCUGCAGCCAGCUCUUUUCUCCCGUUUGUUCCAGCAGGCGCGUCACCGGGGAGGCUGAGGUGCAGCAACUCGAAUUGCUCUCGGAGGACAGGUGUGUGGCGGCAGGCACCGCACCGCAGCCAGGACGCCCCCCUCAACAGGAGCAGGACACGGAAGUCGGAUUUGAAUAAAGGGCUGGUGUGUCCACACAAAUC